AUAUUUUUCUCGAUCUUUUGGCUAAGAUCAAGUGUAGUAUCUGUUCUUAUCAGUUUAAUAUCUGAUAUGUGGGUCAUCAACCCAUUAUGAUAUUAAAUUAAUUUUUUGUGAGGGAGGGUUCAUCGUAUUGGCUUGCCAUUGGGACCCUCACGUGUUGCCCAUGGGUUGCACUGCUUGCACGGGCUUGGCACACCUUGA